rnacentral:rRNA from 1 species
GUUCCUACGGGAGGCAGCAGUGGGGAAUAUUGCACAAUGGGGGAAACCCUGAUGCAGCAACGCCGCGUGAGUGAAGAAGUAUUUCGGUAUGUAAAGCUCUAUCAGCAGGGAAGAAAAUGACAGUACCUGACUAAGAAGCCCCGGCUAACUACGUGCCAGCAGCCGCGGUAAUACGUAGGGGGCAAGCGUUAUCCGGAUUUACUGGGUGUAAAGGGAGCGCAGACGGAAAGGCAAGUCAGAAGUGAAAACCCAAGGCUCAACCAUGGGACUGCUUUUGAAACUGUCAAACUAGAGUACGGGAGAGG